rnacentral:rRNA from 1 species
UACGAAGGGGGCUAGCGUUGCUCGGAUUCAUUGGGCGUAAAGGGUGUGUAGGUGGCGCGCUAAGUCGGGUGUGAAAUUUCGGAGCUUAACUCCGAAACUGCAUUCGAUACUGGCGUGCUUGAGGACUGGAGAGGAGACUGGAAUUCAUGGUGUAGCAGUGAAAUGCGUAGAGAUCAUGAGGAAGACCAGUGGCGAAGGCGGGUCUCUGGACAGUUCCUGACACUGAGACACGAAGGCCAGGGGAGCAAACGGG